GACGAACGCUGGCGGCGUGCUUAACACAUGCAAGUCGAGCGGUAAGGCCCUUUCGGGGGUACACGAGCGGCGAACGGGUGAGUAACACGUGGGUGACCUGCCCUCAGCUCUGGGAUAAGCCUGGGAAACCGGGUCUAAUACUGGAUAUGACUCCAUGACGCAUGUUGUGGGGUGGAAAGCCUUGUGCGGCUGAGGAUGGGCCCGCGGCCUAUCAGCUUGUUGGUGGGGUGAUGGCCUACCAAGGCGACGACGGGUAGCCGGCCUGAGAGGGCGACCGGCCACACUGGGACUGAGACACGGCCCAGACUCCUACGGGAGGCAGCAGUGGGGAAUCUUGCGCAGUGGGCGAAAGCCUGACGCAGCGACGCCGCGUGAGGGAUGACGGCCU
rnacentral:rRNA from 1 species